AAUCCAUUCGCAAUGGUACUCGAAAAAUCAAUUAAAAUACUCAUUUUAUGCAUCUUACUUAUUGCAUUAACAAGUGUAGAAGAAAAUGUGUUAUAAAUAUAUUCUUCUAUUAGCAGCAAUAUUAAAAGUUCAAGCAGAAUUGGGUUGGAUAGAUAGCGAUUACUUCUUCAGCGGUAAAGUAUUUCGAACUUCAAAUACGUGUGAAUCUUCUUGUAAAUCAAGAUGUGGUGAGUUAGGUGUAUGCAUCGAAGAAAAAUGUUUAUGUAUUACCGUGAAAGAAGCUGAUAAAGUACAACCUAAAAAAAGUCUACAUAACGACUACGAACUUCUUGUUGAAAGACCAAUAUUACGUCACCAUAUAGCACAUUUCUGUCCAAGCAUGGAGAAAGCAAAGGAGUGUGUCAGGUCUUGCAUGACAGUCGGUAAACCAGCUUUUUGUGGGAAGGAUCACGUGUGUUACUGUGGCCACAAGUAUUCAAAUAAGGAUAUGGAACCCCAAAUACCAGUUUCAGACAUCUAUGCACAGUUCAAAGAUUUGUAUGCAAAGUAUUUUGGAAAUCAAGAAGAUGCUGAUGUUGAUUAAAUAUUUGAUUAAAAAAAUGUUUUCACUUUUUAAAAACUAUAUUCCAUUUAUUUGUGAUGCAAAUUGAUUGGCACAGAAAGAUUGUGGUUUUUAUAAGAGGACAUCUUUUGAAUUUAUAUUUAUAUUAUUUGUUGUUAUAAAAACUGAUA